CACCACAAAGGAAAUGGUGUCUUCCUAUUUGAACCGUCCCGAUGAUUAACUAAGGACUGAUGGCGCCUACAAAUAG
rnacentral:ncRNA from 1 species